CGGUAAGGCCCUUUCGGGGGUACACGAGCGGCGAACGGGUGAGUAACACGUGGGUGACCUGCCCUCCACUCUGGGAUAAGCCCGGGAAACUGGGUCUAAUACCGGAUAGGACCACUGAUCGCAUGGUUGGUGGUGGAAAGUUUUUUCGGUGGGGGAUGGGCCCGCGGCCUAUCAGCUUGUUGGUGGGGUGAUGGCCUACCAAGGCGGUGACGGGUAGCCGGCCUGAGAGGGCGACCGGCCACACUGGGACUGAGACACGGCCCAGACUCCUACGGGAGGCAGCAGUGGGGAAUAUUGCGCAAUGGGCGGAAGCCUGACGCAGCGACGCCGCGUGGGGGAUGACGGCCUUCGGGUUGUAAACCUCUUUCGCCAGGGACGAAGAGCAAUUGACGGUACCUGGAGAAGAUGCAUCGGCCAACUACGUGCCAGCAGCCGCGGUAACACGUAGGGUGCGAGCGUUGUCCGGAAUUAUUGGGCGUAAAGAGCUCGUAGGCGGUGUGUCGCGUCGGCCGUGAAAACUUGGGGCUUAACUCUGAGCGUGCGGUCGAUACGGGCAUCACUUGAGUUC
rnacentral:rRNA from 1 species